rnacentral:rRNA from 1 species
UAAGCCAUGCAUGUCUAAGUUCACACCCUUGUACGGGUGAAACCGCGAAUGGCUCAUUAAAUCAGUCGAGGUUCCUUAGAUGAUCCAUUUCUACUUGGAUAACUGUGGUAAUUCUAGAGCUAAUACAUGCCGCCCAGCUUCAACCCUUCGGGGAAAGAGCGCUUUUAUUAGUUCAAAACCAGUCGGGGUUCGCCCCGUCCUUUGGUGACUCUGGAUAACUUUGUGCCGAUCGCAUGGCCUUGAGCCGGCGACGCAUCUUUCAAAUGUCUGCCCUAUCAAAUGACAAUGGUCGGUGAUCUGCCUACCAUGUUUGCUACGGGUAGCGGGGAAUCAGG